rnacentral:rRNA from 1 species
ACUGAACGCUGGCGGCAGGCCUAACACAUGCAAGUCGAGCGGAUGAAGGGAGCUUGCUCCUGGAUUCAGCGGCGGACGGGUGAGUAAUGCCUAGGAAUCUGCCUGGUAGUGGGGGAUAACGUCCGGAAACGGGCGCUAAUACCGCAUACGUCCUGAGGGAGAAAGUGGGGGAUCUUCGGACCUCACGCUAUCAGAUGAGCCUAGGUCGGAUUAGCUAGUUGGUGGGGUAAAGGCCUACCAAGGCGACGAUCCGUAACUGGUCUGAGAGGAUGAUCAGUCACACUGGAACUGAGACACGGUCCAGACUCCUACGGGAGGAAGCAGUGGGGAAUAUUGGACAAUGGGCGAAAGCCUGAUCCAGCCAUGCCGCGUGUGUGAAGAAGGUCUUCGGAUUGUAAAGCACUUUAAGUUGGGAGGAAGGGCAGUAAGUUAAUACCUUGCUGUUUUGACGUUACCAACAGAAUAAGCACCGGCUAACUUCGUG